rnacentral:rRNA from 1 species
CCCUUAGAUGUUCUGGGCAGCACGCGCGCUACAAUGGUCUUCGCAAACGGAUGCAUUCUCGAAGGAGAAUGCCAAUCUUGGAAUCUAUGCCUUGGUCGGGACAGUUGCUUGCAAUUAUUCGACUCGAACCAGGAAUUCCUUGUAAUCGUGAUUCAUCACAUCACGAUGAAUACGUCCCUGCCCUUUGUACACACCGCCCGUCGCUCCUACCGAUCGAAGAGUUAGGUGAAUUGUUUUGAUCGAUAAGAUUUGACUAUGGUCAACUCUCGUUGUGAAAUUCUGUGAAUCUGACUGUUUAGAGGAAGGAAAAGUCGUAACA